rnacentral:SRP_RNA from 1 species
GCCAGGCAUGCUGGCUCAUGCCUGUAAUCCCAGCACUUUGGGAGGCUGAGAUGGGUGGAUCACCUGAGGUCAGGAAUUUGAGACCAGCCUGGCCAACAUGGUGAAACCCCAUCUCUA